rnacentral:rRNA from 1 species
UACAGAGGGGCAAGCGUUAUUCGGAAUUAUUGGGCGUAAAGGGCGCGUAGGCGGCCUGGCAAGUGGAUGGUGAAAUCCCUCGGCUUAACCGAGGAACUGCCAUCCAGACUGCUUGGCUUGAGACCGGGAGAGGUGAGUGGAAUUCCCAGUGUAGCGGUGAAAUGCGUAGAUAUCGGAAGGAACACCAGUGGCGAAAGCGGCUUCCUGGUCC